UUGGCGCACAACGUGCUAUGCGGUGAAGUUAUGUUCUGAGAGUGUAGUGCGUAACCACAGUCCCCCUUCGCUCCAAGUAUGCAUAGCGUAUUAAGCACGCAUUCACUUUCCACGUGCAUAUAAACACGGGCGCUGCAGUCUUAUUGCCGUUAUAGCGAUAAAGUUCUCUCAAGCAGUUCAUCCGUGACUUCAGAGCGUUCUUCAGCAAGAUGAAGGUGGUCGCAGUUUCAUUCCUGCUUUGUGCAUUUGUCGCGACGGUACAAAGCGAAUGCCCGGAGCUGGUUGCUCUCAGUGGCGUUAUGCGUUGCUACGCGGAAGUGAAGGCGGAAGCCGAACGCCGGGGCCUGCCUGCCGGAUCUGACGAGUUGGACCUUCCAAAUCCAAAAAGACUCAAGGGUGCAUGCUGUGUGAUGAUUUUAGCAUCUUGCGUGGACCGACUUUCCAUGGAACGGAAACGUCACCUUGAGUCUCAGGAGCAGCGAAGGGGUUGUUAGGACGGUAACGGGAGAAGAACCGACGACGACUCAAAACCAGCUAAUGAACCCGUUAUCGCUUCAUCCACUUUCUGUAUGUUGAAUAAAGUGUUUAUUUGCCGGU